rnacentral:rRNA from 1 species
UCCGUAGGUGGCCAUAUAAGUGAAAGGUGAAAUCCUUCGGCUCAACCGAAGAACUGCCCUUCAAACUAUAUGACUAGAGGAUGAAAGAGGAGAGUGGAACUGUUGGUGUAAAGGUGAAAUUUGUGGAUAUCAACAGGAACGCCUGUGGGGAAGCCGACUCUCUGGUUCAUUCCUGACACUGAGGGACGAAAGCUAGGGUAGCGAACA